rnacentral:rRNA from 1 species
GCACCAGUCGAGAGAUCAUUCACAAUGGGGGCAACCCUGAUGGUGCAACGCCGCGUGGAGGAAGAAGGUCUUCGGAUUGUAAACUCCUGUCAUCUAGGAGCAAGGCAUGGUGGUGAAUAGCCAACAUGAUUGAUAGUACUAGAAGAGGAAGGGACGGCUAACUUCGUGCCAGCAGCCGCGGUAAUACGAAGGUCCCGAGCGUUAUUCGGAAUCACUGGGCGUAAAGGGAGCGUAGGCGGCGUGGAAAGUCAGAUGUGAAAUCCCAGAGCUUAACUCUGGAACUGCAUCCGAUAACUACCAUGCUAGAGUAUUGGAGGGGUAACUGGAAUUCUCGGUGUAGCAGUGAAAUGCGUAGAUAUCGAGAGGAACACUCGUGGCGAAAGCGAGUUACUGGACAAUUACUGACGCUGAGGCUCGAAGGCUAGGGGAGCAAAAGGGAUUA